GCCGCUGUGGUGGAAUGGUAGACACUAGGGACUUAAAAUCCCUUGGCCAUUAUGGCCGUGCUGGUUCGAGUCCAGCCAGCGGCACCA
rnacentral:tRNA from 1 species